CCUACGGGUGGCAGCAGUGGGGAAUAUUGGGCAAUGGGCGCAAGCCUGACCCAGCAACGCCGCGUGAAGGAAGAAGGCUUUCGGGUUGUAAACUUCUUUUAUCAGGGACGAAGCAAGUGACGGUACCUGAUGAAUAAGCCACGGCUAACUACGUGCCAGCAGCCGCGGUAAUACGUAGGUGGCAAGCGUUAUCCGGAUUUACUGGGUUUAAGGGGCGUGUAGGCGGGAGUGCAAGUCAGAUGUGAAAACUUAGGGCUCAACCGUGAGCCUGCAUUUGAAACUGUGUUUCUUUAGUGCUGGUGAGGCAAGCGGAAUUCCGGGUGUAGCGGUGAAAUGCGUAGAUAUACGGAGGAACACCAGUGGCGAAGGCGGACUGCUGGACAGCAACUGACGCUGAGGCGCGAAAGUGUGGGGAGCAAACAGGAUUAGAUACCCUGGUAGUC
rnacentral:rRNA from 1 species